UGAACCCGAGGAAAAGUUUAGGUC
rnacentral:piRNA from 1 species